UACGGGGGGUGCGAGCGUUGUCCGGAAUCACUGGGCGUAAAGGGCGCGUAGGUGGUCUUGUAAGUUUGCGGUGAAAGCCCGGGGCUCAACCCCGGGUCUGCCGCGGAUACUGCGAGACUCGAGUACUGUAGAGGCUGGUAGAAUGCCGGGUGUAGCGGUGGAAUGCGUAGAGAUCCGGCAGAAGACCGGUGGCGAAGGCGGCCAGCUGGGCAGUAACUGACACUGAGGCGCGACAGCGUGGGGAGCAAACAGG
rnacentral:rRNA from 1 species